rfam:Candidatus Brennerbacteria bacterium RIFOXYD1_FTLL_41_16 rifoxyd1_full_scaffold_40, whole genome shotgun sequence.
GCCCCUGUAGUUCAAUGGACAGAAUGAGAGUUUGCGGAACUCUUGAUGCAGGUCCGAUUCCUGCCAGGGGUA